UUUCCGUAGGUGAACCUGCGGAAGGAUCAUUAUCGUUUAAUCCACGUUAAAAACCAAUGGUGGAAUUGUCCAAAAAAUAAAACGAGAUAAACCCAUCAUUAUAAAUAUUUACUAACCAUUUCAUACUCUGGAAACGGAGAUGAGAUAAAUACGAAACUUAAGAACAACUCUUAGCAACGGAUAUCUUGGUUCUCACAUCGAUGAAGAACGCAGC
rnacentral:misc_RNA from 1 species